rnacentral:rRNA from 1 species
AACGAACGCUGGCGGCAGGCCUAACACAUGCAAGUCGAGCGGACCCUUCGGGGUUAUCGGCGGACGGGGGAGUAACGCGUGGGAAUAUGCCCUUCUCUACGGAAUACUUCUGGGAAACAUGGGGUAAGACCACAUACGCUCAUAGGGGGAAAGAUUUAUCGGGGAAGGAUUGGCCCGCGUUGGUUUGGGUGGUUGGUGGGGUAAUGGCGUACCAAGCCGACGUUCCAUAGCUGGUGGGUGAGGAUGAUCAGCCACACUGGAACUGCGACACGGCCCAGACUCCGACGGGAGGCAGCAGUAGGGAGUCUUAGACGAUGGAGCCAACCCUAAUCUAGCCGUGCCGCGUGAGUGAUGAAGGCCUUAGGGUUGUAAAGCUCUUUCAGCUGGGAAGAUAAUGACGGUACCAGGAGAAGAAGCCCCGGCUAACUCCGUG